rnacentral:lncRNA from 1 species
GGGAACUCCUCCAUUCAUCUAUUGAUGGAACUUUAGCUUGCAUCCAUGUCUUGGCUAUUAUAAAUAAUGCUGCAGUGAACAUAGGGGCACAUAUAUCUUUUCUAAUUAGAGUUUUUUGCUUUCCUUGGAUAAAUAUCCAGGAAUAGAAUUGCUGGAUCACUUGGUAUUUCUAUUUUUCAUUUUUGGAGGAAAUUCCAUAACGUAUAUAUAUAUAUAUAAGACAUGGUGACACGGCUUCCUCUCAGAUGCGCAUCACUCAAAGCCCUGUUUGCCUGCAUCCUGGCAUGCUGCUGAUCUGGACUACCAGUGUCUCUGAAGGCCACCAGAGGAGCAGACCACAUAGCUCUGCUGUCUGGAAAAAGUAGGAAAUGCCUUGGUAGUGGCGGUGCACGGGAUCAGAUGCUGGCCAUCUGGAGGGUGCAGAGUGUACAAAGCUCUGCAGGUCCCAGGCUGUCCCCACAGAAGCGUAUGGGUCUGGGUGAAUACAUGAGUGUGCGCACUUCCAUGCUAAAGAGGGCUGUUAUGCUCCAAUCUGGCCAAAGCACUGGAACUGACUCCUCUUCCCAUACCAGGACAUGCCAAGUGGCUUCCUGUUUGAAGGGCUCUCCGAUGAGGAGGAUGACUUUCACCCAAGUGCCAGGUCCACGCCCUCGAGCAGCACGUCCAGCUCCCGCCCAGCUUCCCUGGGGUACAGUGGAGCCGCCGGACCCCGGCCCAUCACUCAGAGCGAGCUGGCCACGGCCCUGGCCCUGGCCAGCACUCCGGAGAGCAGCUCUCACACGCCAACUCCUGGCACCCAGGGCCAUUCCUCUGGGACCUCCCCAAUGUCCUCAGGCGUCCAGUCAGGGACGCCCAUCACCAACGAUCUGUUCAGCCAAGCCCUACAGCAUGCGCUGCAGGCCUCCGGGCAGCCCAGCCUUCAGGUCAGUCUUCCCACUCCUGGUGUCCACGCGGCUCUUUGUCACCUUGGACACUGAGCUUUUUGUGCUCUGUGGAGGCCCUUCCCACUUGGCCUGCUUUGCUCCAGGACAGCUGGGCCGUGACAGUGUGACAGGAGAGGAUGCCCGCAGCAAGGGCGGUUGUCCCUGUGGCUUCCACUCCUGCACCCAGUGA